UCCUGCCUGACAGAUCCCCUCCUGCUGCCCACUCGAAGACCCCGGUGGAGUCCAGAGACACUGUUAGCGUGGGGAGUGCCACAGCAAAAAGGAAUGGGGCUCAUUUAACAGCAUCAAGUGCCACCCGCCAUUUAAAGAACCCCCCACUUCUUCCCUGCGACCAGGGCUUCAGAGAAACCACAGAGCAGGAAGCGUCCCUACAGCCUCAGCUCGGAAGCAGAGGGUCAGUAUUCUCUGUUGUGGAGUUUUGGGUCGGGGUAACCAUUGUCUCUCACCGGUUCUCCGUGUUAAGCAGAAGACUGUUUUGCUCUUACCCCUCUCCUAGGAGCAUGGUUUUAAGUCAAUGCACAAUAGGAGGAUUUUUCUUCUCCCCAUGGUUGGUGGGGGGAGGGAGGGUUGGUUUUCCAUCAUUCCCUGUUGUGUCCUUAGAAACCCUGCAGGACAGCUGUAACAAUGUACCACAGGGCUGUCAGAUAAAGAUGUGACUGGAUGGCUUAGCCUCAGCCCCGAGUGACUGCUGAGGGGGCCGUCUGUUUGGGUGUUAUCUGGGGUUCCUGAUGGGGCUGGAGAUUACUGUGACCACCUUUGCUUUAGUUCACUGUUGUAAACUCCACAAGCGUGGACACUUGUGCUACUCUCCAGUAAACACUUGGUUUAAAUAUU
rnacentral:lncRNA from 1 species